CGAUGGCUUGCACGUUCACUUUCUCAAUUCCUAGGGUUUCUGUUCAUCCUCUUGAGGUUUCAUAUACAUAAUCUUUAUGUUGCAGAGAAAUUUCAAGUUUUUAAUCCUGGAAAAGGAACGGUAUUGUAAUCUGGGACAAGAAACGAUACUGGAAGUGAAAAAACUAGGUCAUGAUGGUUGAUUUGGGCAUUUAACUUGCAAGGGUAGUGACCAGCCUGGAUGGGUAUGGUCCAUUUCUUUUGGUAUGGCUGGUCACUGGGUCAUUUGGGCUUCUAGCCAUCAUCUUUGCAUUUCUUAAAUGGCAGAAAAGGACAUCUCUAAAUUGGGUUAAAGCUGCAGCUAGAGCAAAGAAAGAAGUCUGAAAAAGCUAAAAGUUCCUUUAUCACAUCAUACGUGGAUGGAAGAUAUGACUAACGGUGAACAGCCAUCCACUUCUUGUGUUUGCUUGACUUCCUUGGUGUUUCUUCAUAACCAAGGAACAAAAGCCUCUUAUCGCACUCCUGUUCAUCAUUGCUCUGUUUGUGGUGUAGCAGCUCAUUUCUAUUGUUCUCAGUACGCAGUAAGGGAUUGCAAGUGUGUGGCACGAGCUGGUUUUACCCAUGUCCGACACCACUGGUCCGAAAGAUGGGUUAAUGUGCAUGAUAAUCCGGAGAUCUCGGCCUUCUGUUUUUAUUGUGAGGAGCCAUGUAGUGUUCCUCUCCUUGAUGCUUCUCCUACAUGGCAUUGCCUAUGGUGUCAGCGCCUCAUACAUGUCAGAUGUCACAACAAAAUGGCAAAAGAAUGUGGUGAUGCUUGCGAUUUUUGUACUCUUAGCAGAAUUAUUAUUUCUCCUUUGUGUGUGAAAGAAGUUGGCCACUAUAAUGGAGGUUACUGUGAGAAUAGCAAUAUUGAACAGAAUUUUAACAGGGAGAAGCAGAGAAUCUUAGGAGAAGAAUUGAUGUAUUCAUUCAUUGAUUUAUCAACACAGUACAGUGAUGGUUUUUAUACUA